AGAGUUUGAUCUUGGCUCAGGACGAACGCUGGCGGCGUGCCUAACACAUGCAAGUGGAGCGACGAACCAGGCUUCGGCCUGGGGCAAAGCCGCGAACGGGUGAGUAACACGUGGGUAACCUACCCCGAAGACCGGGACAACCCGAGGAAACUCGAGCUAAUACCGGAUGUGGUCACUGUCCUCAAGGACGGUGAGCAAAGGAAGCUUCGGCCUCCGCUUCGGGAGGGGCCCGCGGCCCAUUAGCUUGUUGGUGAGGUAACGGCUCACCAAGGCUGCGAUGGGUAGCUGGUCUGAGAGGACGAUCAGCCACACUGGGACUGAGACACGGCCCAGACUCCUACGGGAGGCAGCAGUGGGGAAUCUUGCGCAAUGCGCGAAAGCGUGACGCAGCAACGCCGCGUGGGGGAAGAAGGCCUUCGGGUCGUAAACCCCUUUCAGGAGGGACGAAGCCUCGGGAGUGAAUAGCUCUCCGAGGUGACGGUACCUCACUAAGAAGCCCCGGCUAACUACGUGCCAGCAGCCGCGGUA
rnacentral:rRNA from 1 species